rnacentral:rRNA from 1 species
AGAGUUUGAUCAUGGCUCAGGAUGAACGCUGGCGGCGUGCUUAACACAUGCAAGUCGAACGAACCUUCGGGUUAGUGGCGGACGGGUGAGUAACGCGUGAGAAUCUGCCCUCAGGAGGGGGAUAACGGUUGGAAACGACCGCUAAUACCCCAUAUGCCUACUGGUGAAAUGAAUUUCGCCUGAGGAUGAGCUCGCGUCUGAUUAGCUAGUUGGUGAGGUAAUGGCUCACCAAGGCUUCGAUCAGUAGCUGGUCUGAGAGGAUGAUCAGCCACACUGGGACUGAGACACGGCCCAGACUCCUACGGGAGGCAGCAGUGGGGAAUUUUCCGCAAUGGGCGAAAGCCUGACGGAGCAACGCCGCGUGAGGGACGAAGGCCUCUGGGCUGUAAACCUCUUUUCUCAAGGAAGAAGAUAUGACGGUACUUGAGGAAUAAGCCACGGCUAAUUCCGUGCCAGCAGCCGCGGUAAUACGGGAGUGGCAAGCGUUAUCCGGAAUUAUUGGGCGUAAAGCGUCCGCAGGCGGCUUUUCAAGUCUGCUGUUAAAGCGUGGAGCUUAACUCCAUCAUGGCAGUGGAAACUGAAAGGCUUGAGUAUGGUAGGGGCAGAGGGAAUUCCCGGUGUAGCGGGUGAAAUGCGUAGAUAUCGGGAAGAACACCAGUGGCGAAGGCGCUCUGCUGG